UACGUAGGGGGCAAGCGUUGUCCGGAAUCAUUGGGCGUAAAGAGCGUGUAGGCGGCCCGGUAAGUCCGCUGUGAAAGUCCAGGGCUCAACCCUGGGAUGCCGGUGGAUACUGUCGGGCUCGAGUCCGGAAGAGGAGUGUGGAAUUCCUGGUGUAGCGGUGAAAUGCGCAGAUAUCAGGAGGAACACCAAUGGCGAAGGCAGCACUCUGGGACGUGACUGACGCUGAGACGCGAAAGCGUGGGGAGCAAACGGG
rnacentral:rRNA from 1 species